UUGGAGGGCAAGUCUGGUGCCAGCAGCCGCGGUAAUUCCAGCUCCAAUAGCGUAUAUUAAAGUUGUUGCAGUUAAAAAGCUCGUAGUUGAAUUUCGGGAUCAAUAUUUCGGUCAUGCCGUUGGUAUGCACUGUUAUCAUUGAUUUCUCACCUUCUAAAGAACCGUAAUGCCAUUAAUUUGGUGUUACGGGGAAUUAGGACUGUUACCUUGAAAAAAUUAGAGUGUUUAAAGCAAGCUAACGCUUGAAUACAUUAGCAUGGAAUAAUGAAAUAGGACGUUCGAUCUUAUUUUGUUGGUUUCUUAGGAUUGACGUAAUGAUUAAUAGGGAUAGUUGGGGGCGAUUAGUAUUCAAUUGUCAGAGGUGAAAUUCUUGGAUUUAUUGAAGACUAACUACUGCGAAAGCAUUUGCCAAGGAUGUUUUUCAUUAAAUCAAGAACGAAAGUUAGGGGAUCGAAGACGAUCAGAUACCGUCGUAGUCUUAACCAUAAACUAUGCCGACUAGGGAUCGGGAUGAUGUUAAAUUUUUUAAUGACUCAUUCGGGCGCCUUAC
rnacentral:rRNA from 1 species